GACGAACGCUGGCGGCGUGCUUAACACAUGCAGGUCGAACGGAAAGGCCCUGCUUUUGUGGGGUGCUCGAGUGGCGAACGGGUGAGUAACACGUGAGUAACCUGCCCUUGACUUUGGGAUAACUUCAGGAAACUGGGGCUAAUACCGGAUAGGAGCUCCUGCUGCAUGGUGGGGGUUGGAAAGUUUCGGCGGUUGGGGAUGGACUCGCGGCUUAUCAGCUUGUUGGUGGGGUAGUGGCUUACCAAGGCUUUGACGGGUAGCCGGCCUGAGAGGGUGACCGGCCACAUUGGGACUGAGAUACGGCCCAGACUCCUACGGGAGGCAGCAGUGGGGAAUAUUGCACAAUGGGCGGAAGCCUGAUGCAGCAACGCCGCGUGCGGGAUGACGGCCUUCGGGUUGUAAACCGCUUUCGCCUGUGACGAAGCGUGAGUGACGGGAAUGGGUAAAGAAGCACCGGCGAACUACGG
rnacentral:rRNA from 1 species